rnacentral:rRNA from 1 species
GACGAACGCUGGCGGCGCGCCUAACACAUGCAAGUCGAACGAGCGAGAGAGAGCUUGCUUUCUCGAGCGAGUGGCGAACGGGUGAGUAACGCGUGAGGAACCUGCCUCAAAGAGGGGGACAACAGUUGGAAACGACUGCUAAUACCGCAUAAGCCCACGGCUCGGCAUCGAGCAGGGGGAAAAGGAGCAAUCCGCUUUGAGAUGGCCUCGCGUCCGAUUAGCUAGUUGGUGAGGUAACGGCCCAUCAAGGCGACGAUCGGUAGCCGGACUGAGAGGUUGAACGGCCACAGUGGGACUGAGACACGGCCCAGACUCCUACGGGAGGCAGCAGUGGGGAAUAUUGCACAAUGGGGGAAACCCUGAUGCAGCGACGCCGCGUGGAGGAAGAAGGUCUUCGGAUUGUAAACUCCUGUUGUUGGGGAAGAUAAUGACGGUACCCAACAAGGAAGUGACGGCUAACUACGUG